rnacentral:rRNA from 1 species
GGCUCAGGACAACGGCUGGCGGCAUGCCUAAUACAUGCAAGUCGAGCGAACGGAUGAGGAGCUUGCUCCUCUGACGUUAGCGGCGAAUGGGCGAGUAACACGUGGGCAACCUGCCCUGUAGUUGGGGAGUAACUCCGGGAAACCGGGGCUAAUACCGAAUGAUUAAUUCUUUCUCAUGAAAGGAUUCUGAAAGACGGCUUCGGCUGUCGCUACGGGAUGGGCCCGCGGCGCAUUAGCUAGUUGGUAAGGUAACGGCUUACCAAGGCGACGAUGCGUAGCCGACCUGAGAGGGUGAUCGGCCACACUGGGACUGGGACACGGCCCAGACUCCUACGGGAGGCAGCAGUAGGGAAUCAUCCACAAUGGACGAAAGUCUGAUGGUGCAAUGCCGCGUGAGCGAAGAAGGUUUUCGGAUCGUAAAGCUCUGUUAUGAGGGAAGAACAAGUACAAGAGUAACUGCUUGUACCUUGACGGUACCUCAUUAGAAAGCCACGGCUAACUACGUG